GUGUUUUGCCGACUGUUACCUGUAAAAGGAGUUAAGGAUCCAUGUCCAAAACUGCCGACUCUCUCUCUCUCUCUCUCUAAUUCAGAAACUCCAACUACCCCUCUUUUGAUUUGGCUUUCUCUCUCGAUCUAGUGAAAAAACCGACUUGAGCAAGGAGUAAAAAAAAAACAAAGAGCGCGACUUUUCAGCCAUGGAAGCCAUAAGAAAGCAAGCGGCAAAGCUCAGAGAGCAAGUUGCUAGGCAACAGCAAGUGGGUUUCUUUCCCUUUUUACUUUUUUUUUGUGUUCUUAAUUUAUUCAGGAGACAAAUCUGGAAAAAAAUGAUUAUGUGGGUUUCAAUAAAGGUGGAAUCUUGGAAGUGCUCAUGUUUUAUUUUUAAUAGUCUUAGGGGGCAGAAGAUAGGAUUGACUGACGUAUUGAAUUGGUAGACUUUUGCUUGUUUUAGAAUCAAGAUUACGUUAUCUUUUCAGACAAGAUUUGUGUAGGGUUUUUCUGUCUUGUAUAAUGUUCCGGUUAUUGUUCAGGCGGUGUUGAAGCAUUUAGGGCAUGUUAACGCGGAUGCUGUGGUUGUUGAUGAAGAAGAGCUUCAUUGUCAUCAGAAACUCCAAGAACUAUACAGCUCCACCAAGGCUGCAAAGGUAAAAAUGAUAAUCUUUAGUAUUUUUCAAGGGAGAUUUUUUUUUUUUUUUUCUUAAAGAAAUCUAAUUAGUUUGUUAUGUUCACAGCGUUUGCAAAGGAACAUUGUUCGUGGGCUAGAAGGGUUCAUUGCGACAGGCACGAAAGUUGUAGAGAUAGGUGAGUUCUUGUUUCUUACUCUGGUCUCAUUUAUAUACUUCUUGGGAUCAGAUUUAGGAAUGUUGUAUCCGUAAUAGGGUUGAAGUUUGCUGAAGAUUUUAAGAAAUAUGGAGAUGAGAAUCCCGAUGCUAACACUCCUCUCUCAAGAGUUUCACAUCACUUUGGGACCUCUUACAAGUCGGUGGAGGAUGGCAGGGAAACUCUACUUGGAGUUCUUAGUGAGCAGGUACAUCUUUUGGAACAUUUCCUUUUCAAUUAUAUAGUUUCAUUUUUUAAUAAAGCUUCAGGAUUUGAUUUGGUUAGGUUUGUGAGCCAAUUCGUACAAUGAUAUAUAGUGCGCCUUUGGAGGAUGCAAGGCAUUUAGUGAAUCAUUACGACAGGUUGAGGCAAGAAGUCGAAGCACAGGUAAAUAGUCUCUUUUUUUUGGGUCAAUUUGUAAAUUUUAAAAAACCAUUUAUUGUCUUGAAUAGGCGACUGAUGUACUGAGGAGAAGAUCAAAGUUGAAGGAAUCUGAUGUUUCUGAAGAGGCUUACAUGAAGCUUAAGAACUCUGAGUCGAGAUUGGCUGAUCUCAAAUCAAGCAUGAAAACACUUGGAAAAGAAGCUACUAAGGCUAUGUUAGAAGUGGACAAUCAGCAGCAGAGCGUAACUUAUCAGCGCCUCCGUACCCUGGUAAAAUCUCCACUUGAUGAUUGUUUGUUUUACUGGUUGGUCCCUGGAUUGGAUAUGAAAAUGAAAUUUACCAACUGCAGGUUGAAGCUGAGAUAUCAUAUCAUCGUAAUGCUCUUGAUAUCCUUGAUAAGCUACAUUCUGAGGUCAGUAACUCUCUCUCUCUAUGAUAAACUACUUGAGAUAAUGAAUAGAACAUACUGAUUUUGGAUGUCUUCCAUGUUCUCAGAUGAUUGCUGAGGAAGAAGCUAUAGAAUCAUCACCAAAGUCUCUACCUCUACCUUUACAUUUGGAGGAUACUGUUUCACAUCCCCAAGCCAGUCACAGUGGAGAGAUCAAAUCAAACCACCAAGGAGAAACCAAGCAUACUACUCCCCAUGAAGAAGUAACCAAACCCAAUCCAAAGGAAGACAUGGAGUCUAGUCCCGAAGUAGAAAUUAAAUCCAAACCUCAGAAAGAAAUCAAGUCUUCUGGUCCACAGGAAGAUACCAAAACCUCCAAUGGAUCUGAUGAUCAUCACAGUCAUCAGCAACUUCUCAGUCAAAAUGAUUCCUACUUUCUUGCAAAGGUAAUACUCUUUUCGAAACAGUUCUUCCGAACUCGGUCAACAACAAGAGUUAUGUUUUCUUGUUUUUUUUUGGGACAGGUUGUGCACCCGUUUGAUGCUCAAGCGCCAGGAGAACUGAGUCUAGCGGUUGAUGAUUAUGUCAUCGUGCGACAGGUACACCCUUUCCUAAACAAUGCAAAACAGAGAAAGGUCGGUCUAAUGAUUCUGGUUGUGUUUCAGGUGGCUGGGACAGGGUGGUCGGAAGGAGAAUACAAGGGGAAAGCCGGAUGGUUUCCGUCGGCGUACGUGGAGAAACAAGAGAAAGCUCCUGCGAGCAAGAUUGUGGAAGCAAACCUUAACCAGCAAUGAUCUCACCCUCGAUAAUGUAUGAUAUGUUUGAUGUUUCCACGAGUACAUACGUAUGAUCAUUAUGUGUGUUGUUUCUUCCUUGUUUAUGUAUCAUCACAAGUCUUACUACUCUUCUUGGAGUCGUUUUCUCCUAUCUUAACGUUUGUUUGAUGGGUUCUCUGUUUCUUCUGUAAUAUUUACUCUCAAAAUGAUAAUGAUAUCUUCUUCCUUCUUAAUUUGGUUUUUGUCUUCGUAUCUCUUCUUGUUUUUCUUACCGCGCCUUAGAUCAUCUAAGUUAGAUGUAACCAGUUCCAGAUAUGGUUUGAAUUAUCUCUGGGUUUAAUAACCGAACCAAAUUUUGGGUUUUUGAUUCAGAAUCAGAUUCGGUUUUUUGCUCGAAAAGCUUUUUUUUUUCGGUUCAGUUCAAUAGCCGGUUAAGUUAGUUUUCAAAAUAAAUUUGUUUUGCCAAACUCUCGAACAUAAAUAACCAAGUAACCGAAUUGAACUGAAAUUUUGUAUUCAGUAACACCCCCAAUAAGUUUAUAACAAGUUCAAACCAAAAUCUAAUCAAAAUCGAAUCCAACCGAACCGAAUCAUUUUCGUUUUAGGUGAUGAUUGUUUAUAUAGUUUUUGGAUUUUAGUUUUUGGUUUUUAGAUUUUGGUUUUUAGUUUUUAGAUUUUGGUUUUUAGUCUUUGGUUUUUGAUUUUGCUGUAGAUAUUAGAUUUUCUAAAAACUUGAAUGGUAACAUUAGAUUUUGGUUUUUGUUUUUAAAAGUAAAAUAAAUUAUUAAAAAUAUUUAUUUUGAAAACCGUGAAAAUACAAAUGUUAUUAUUAUCACUAAAAAUAAACAAACUUAUAUUAAUAUUUUAUUUCAAAAAUAUAUUAUUAAACAAAAACUAAUAGCUAAAUUUUAAAAUACAUUUAAUUUUAUAUCUUGAGAAAAAUAUACAAUUAACUAAACUUUAAAACAAACUAUUAAAUUUAAGUUGUAUUUAAAAAAUAUGGUCAAACUAAUAGAAUUUAUGCAACUUAAAUAUUGCAACAUAAAUAGUAAUAACUGAAUUUUCAAAUUACAUGUCUAAAGUGUUGAUUAAUAAGUUGGACUAUUAUUCAUUUAUUUUUUUGAUAUUAGUUAGUUUCAGUUAUGUCACUAUCUAUUAAAUAAAACUGUAAUAAAGCAAAAAAAUAAAAAAGUCAUCGUACAACAUUUUUACAAAACUGAAAAAUGAUAGAUUUUGGGUUUUGUGUACAAAUGGAUAGUUUUUUCAAAAACUAGUUUCCCUAAACUUUAGGUAAUCCAUUUUCUCAAAAUUUUGAUUGGUUAAAAAAGUAGUUUUUGAAAAACAAAAACCAAAAACUAGAGGCCUAGUUUGAAUAAUCUAGAGGUGACGAUGGGUCCUGUACAAACUCCAUCACUCAUAGCAUACAACAAGAUGCUCAAAUCUUUAGCCGACACUAAAACCUUCACCAAAGUCUUGGCUCUGUUCUCUGAACUGCGACGAAACGCCUUGUAUCCGGACAAUUUCACUUUACCGAUUGUGCUCAAAUCAAUCGGACGCUUGAGGAACGUUUUAGAAGGUGAGAAACUCCAUGGCUACGCUGUGAAAUCUGGGCUUAAGCUCGAUCCCUACGUGUGCAACUCACUUAUGGGAAUGUAUGCUGCGUUGGGGAAGAUGGAGAUCACUCACAAGGUGUUCGACGAAAUGCCUGAACGAGAUGUUGUUUCUUGGAACGGCUUGAUUUCUAGCUACGUUGGGCACGGGAGGUUUGAUGAUGCCGUUGCUGUUUUUAAGCGGAUGAGUAAAGAGAGUAACUUGAAGCCUGAUGAGAGUACCAUCGUGAGCACUCUCUCGGCUUGUUCUUCUUUGAAGAAUUUGGAAGUUGGUGAAGGGAUUCACAGAUAUGUUGUUGGCACUGAGUUUGAAACGAGUGUUAAGAUUGGGAAUGCGUUGGUGGAUUUGUUCUGUAAAUGCGGGUGUCUAGAUAAGGCCAGAGCUGUUUUCGAUUCGAUGAAAGGGAAAAAUGUCAAGUGUUGGACUAGUAUGGUCUCUGGGUAUGUUAGUAACGGUAGGAUCGAUGAGGGUAGAGAGUUGUUUGAGAGAAGUCCUGCGAAAGAUGUUGUUCUGUGGACAGCUAUGAUGAAUGGGUAUGUUCAGUUUAACCGGUUUGACGAAGCACUCGAGCUGUUCAGGUGCAUGCAAAGCCAAGGUGUUAGCCCUGAUAACUUCGUGCUCGUCUCUCUCUUGAAAGGCUGUGCGCAGACGGGAGCUCUAGAGCAAGGGAAGUGGAUCCAUGGGUACAUAUGUGAGAACGGAGUUAGAGUAGAUAAAGUAGUUGGUACUGCUCUUGUGGACAUGUAUGCUAAAUGUGGGUGCAUAGAGACAGCUCUAGAGGUUUUCUAUGAAACUAAAGAGAGAGACACUGCUUCUUGGACAUCGCUUAUCUACGGUCUUGCCAUGAACGGGAUGUCAAGGAGAGCGAUGGACUUGUACUACGACAUGGAAAGGGUUGGCGUCAGAUUAGAUGAUAUAACCUUUGUCGCGGUUUUAACAGCCUGUAAUCACGGUGGAUUUGUAGGAGAAGGACGUAGAGUUUUCUAUUCGAUGGUCCAGCCUAAAACAGAGCACUAUAGCUGUAUGAUUGAUCUACUAUGUAGAGCUGGUAGUUUAGAUGAAGCAGAGGAAUUGAUAGAUAAGAUGAGAAAUGAAAGCAAUGAAACUUUGGUUCCUGUAUACUGCUCUUUGCUAAGCGCUGCUCGGAACUAUGGAAAUUUGGAGGUAGCAGAACGGGUAGCUGAGAAGCUGAAGGAAGUGGAAGUUAGUGAUUCAAGUGCUCAUACUCUGCUCGCAAGUGUAUACGCAUCUGCAAAUAGAUGGCAAGAUGUGACGAAUGUGAGAAGGAGAAUGAAAGAUUUGGGAAUCAGAAAGUUUCCUGGAUGCAGCUCUGUGGAGAUUGAUGGGGUGCCUCAUGAAUUCAUUGUUGGAGAUAAAUCAUCAUCAUCAUCAUCAUCAUCAUCUCACCCAAAAAUGGAUGAGAUUAAUACAAUGCUUGCAUCAAACUACAAAUUGGAUGUUGAGUUUGGAACAUGAAGUAAUUGAAAGUUAACACUUUUUUGGUGUUAGAUAACUUCUUAGUCAACCUAUAGCAAAAGCUGAUCUUUCACAAUAUUGAAAAGGGAUCUCAUUAGCAUAUACCCAACCAACAACGUUAAGGCCUUUCUCAAUGAAAGAAGGGCAUCAAAUGGUCGUUUCCCAUUCAAAAACGAGAACCCCAAAACUGUAUAUGUGAUGCGAGUUUGGUCUACCGCUUUAAUAGAUUCUGAUGAUCCCAUUCCUAUGUGUAUAUUCAAGUAAGAAACAAACUCCACAUCACAAAGGGAAAUAACUACUUUUUAUAGAAAAAAAAAAUCAGAUUACGAUUCUUGUGAAGUUCAAGAACAAGUGUACGUACUUAAAUUCAUACAUUAGCUAUAGGCCAAGCCAAACCGCACUAAACCGGUCGAGGUUAUCUUCAUAAAUAGCUCGAUUAUCUCCGCCAGUAAACUCUUUACAAUCCGUUACAGAGUGGCCUCGACUCGGAAACUGUAGCAGGUGAGGAGGAGGAUCAUGGAGUUGUAAAUGAAGAUGAAGAGAGAAGAUGUAAAGCUUACAAAGCUAAAGUGUAUUCUCUGACUGUGCCGUUAAAUGUUCUGAGCAAUUUUCAUCAUCAUUUGCAUCUUAGCUUAUAUAGUUGAAUUCAGGAGUUCAUGAGCUCAGUCACAAGGGAAGAGAGUAAGGUUAAAGACCAGGUGUCUACAUUUUGUUCGAAGCCUAGUAGUAAAAGAAACAAGGGUUCUGCUUCAACUGCAUCAGCAGAUCGGUGAUUCUUGUCGCAAUUAAGGAGAAGCUGAUUGAGCCAAUGAAAGGGAUAGAAGAUCUAGUCUAGUAUAAAGGCUUGAAUGAUAAAUGGAAGGCGAGUCUUAAAAUCAGUGGUUUAACAUAUGAACAUCAGUUUAAAAGUACAGGACAUUUAAACUACUCCAAGAUUAAGAAAACUCAAAAAAAAAAGUGGAAAAAAGAAUCAUUGGUAUGAUAAUCACUUGGAAAAUAAGGUGCAAGUGUAUAUCGAUUAAGCAUCCCUUAAACGCCAAUUCGUAGUACAUAGUUAAUGCAUAAAGAAUGGUGUAUUACCGGUUUGCCGACGACCUGAAAUUUUUCCAAACCGGAUUCAUCAAGCUUCUUCUUCUUCGCUGCUCUCUAACAAAACAACAUUCUUCUGUGUCUUAGCUCUUUUACUUGAUCUGCUUUUACAUGUAUCUUCCUUUGUUCCAUCUUCAACAAGUUGUUCAGAGACCGUAUCAUGUCUCAUCACUUCUAGAAUCUUGUCACCGUACUUGUCUGUUUUCAGUUUUCCUAUUAUGCUCUCCAACUGCAAAAAUUCAACCAAUAAAGCAGCUUUAACAGAGAGGAUUUGAUUAUAUAUACAAAGACCAAAGAAAAUCGGGGUUAUGUAAAAAAAAAAGAUAGCUCACCUCUUGUAAUGAAUCUGGUUUUUGGGAACUUAUCAACCCAAUCUGCUGAGUUGAGAGGACAGUGUGAGGGAGCAUGCUUCCAUGAGCUGCAGAUAUCUCUUUCCUUAGCUCGUCAAGCUUGGAUUCUAAUCCAGAAAAUGAACUACUUCUUUUCGAUUUCUUGUUUAUUUGUCUGCUUGAGGUUUCCGUUUUGAUCGUCUUUCUUCCUGUUCCAGAUCACAUGUAGGACAAGUUUUCUUUCAGGAGUUUUAUCUAUGAGUGCCGAGCGACCAAGUAAUGACCAAAACAUUAAUAUAUUCUUCUAAGACUGUUUUUUUAUGACUUCUAUUCAGAUCCUGAAGCCUAUAGAUGAAGGCAAAUUCAUUACAACUCCUUACCUUGCAACAAUUGGUUUGCCAACGGUCCCGUUGUUACAUAAGCGUUUGUCGAGUAUGGUGUGUGCUGGAAUUCUUCUUUCUGCACAAAAACAGAACAAAACUCAGAUACAGCUGUCUUGAGCUGGCUUAUCAUGUGUCAGAUACAAUCUGACAGAAAACAUGGACAACGAUCUUACCAAUACCGAGUCAACAAUCAGUUUUAUCACGAGAUGUUCUAUCUCUUCUCUCUUUAGCUCAGCACCUAGCCGAUCAACAACAACCAAAAAAAAUCAUAGAGCGAGAGAUUAAGGCAUUAAAUAUCGUUUGCAAUUCAAAGUAAUGAAAUGAAACUAACUUAGAUCCUUAUGCUUAGUUCUCAGUUUGUCACCCAGCUGCAACAUUGUCACUCUUUGAUCCUUAGCUUGCAUUUCUUGCACCAUAGAAACCACGAGCUUAGCUAGGUCUGCAAAAUGUCGUGACCCCAAAAACUCAUCAUGAUAUCAUUCACAUAUUGGCAGAUACUUGCUUAUAAAAUUACUAGAGAAAAACUUUUGGCAGCAAAAAAACAAAGGUUUCAAGCUUAUUUCAAACAAGAAUGAUGUCCAAAGAAACUACAUGCGAAUGUAAGUGGGACAUACAUACCCGAUACAUCAACUUCCUUGACCUCACUUGACAAGGCACAGUUGUCGCACAUUCCUAACAUAAUGCAGAAUAACGAUCAUCACAUAUCAAUGGACGUUGUACCAAUUCUAUCAAUAGUGGCCAGCUAUAAACAAGAAUACCGUUGCAAUCUUGUGACGGCUCUCCAAAAUGACGGAAAAAAGCACUUCGACGACAUUUUGUUUUCGACUGCAACAAGGGAAUUCAGAAACGAUAGUUCAUAAGAUAUCAUACAUUUUAGAACAUUUCAAAAUCACGACCCUUAAAGCCACCAAAAGAAAACAAUUCAAGUCACUCCAGAGCGGCCUCGUUAUCAAGUUUUCUCCAGAUAUUACAUGAAUAACGAUAAUGCAAUCUUCAAGAAGUAAGAAGUGAAACUGGGUACCUGACAGUAUCGUACUAUAUCGUAGAGAUUCUGCAGACCAGAAUACUCGUAGAAGACCAUGGAACUCUGUUGUACAAGAAACAAAAGCAUCAAUGCAAUUUUAGAAAUGUUUUUAUCACAAAUAAGCAGGUUAGAGUAAAUUGAUGCUUACCUGCCUGGGAACAUCACCCGAACGGAAAAAGAGGACGCACUCAGAUGGGAGGCCAUCACGACCAGCACGACCACUCUCCUGCAGUAUAAAGUAAUGGUGAUAAGAAGCAACCUCAUAACCACAUCUAGUUUUAGUGGACAAGUGACUAGAACCUGAUAGUAAGUCUCCAUUGAUUUGCUUAAACUGUGGUGGAUAACAAACCUGACUACAAAAAUGCCCCCAUGUAUCAGUUGGAAAAGGAAAUAAAAUCCGUGAUUUACAAAAUGUGAAGGACGGUGAUCAAAGCUUAGCACUACUAACCAUCAGGUUUGUUGAUUCCCAUGCCGAAGGCAACCUGCCAAGCAAUAAUAAGAGUUGAUAGGUGUACAUCACAAAAAUAAUCGAAUGAUAAGAGGAGGAAUAUACAUACUGUUCCAACAAUGACCUGCAACUUGUUCUUACUCCAUCUGUGAACAUAAAAGAACAACCAUAAUUAGGCAACGCUGCAAAUUGCACAUCACUAACUGAAUCAUUAAGCCCAGAGUCAUGCUUCAUCAGAGCUGGACGACCUUACCGCAUAUGAACUUUUUCUCGCAUAUUUACAUCCAUUUCUGCGUGGUAAUAAUCAGCAGAUAUCCCUCUUUCUCGUAGUUCUCCUGCAAUCUAUCACCAUUUAUUAUAAGUGAAAUAUAAAAGCUUUCCUCCCCAAUCCAAGGUUCAUAAUAUUAACAAUGAUGGUGAGGUCAGAACAUAUGAUGAUGGGUCAAUUGUAGUUGCAAACCUGUUCACACUCCUUCCGAGAGAAACAAUACACUAUUCCAGAUUCAUUGUUAGAAUAUGAUUCUCGUAUGAACUCUGCGAUCUCAUCAACCACAGCUUUACCAACCAGCGACUUUUCUCGCACCUGCAAGACAAUUUAUUGCUCAAGUUAAAGCCUACAAACUAUCAACAGCAUGAGAAUCGUCUACUAAAAAAAUUACUAAAAGAGUACCGAGUAAAAGAGAUUUGGCCUGUUAACACUGCUAACAAAUUUGACGCAUUUAGGAAUAUGCAGCAUCUCUAUCAGAUCAUUUUGGACCUUCUGUGUAGCAGUUGCCUGCAUCAGAGACAUAGUAAAAAAUGAAAUAUUCAACCUUCCAAAACAUAAUAUAUAUAUAUAUAUGAAAGGUGGGAGAGAUCAACUUAGAAUAAAAUUGUUACAUUCUGAUAAGCAUAGUAAGGUGGAACAAGCUCCCAGUGUUGACUGAUUUAAACUCUCUCUCAGGAAUGUAAAGAGGGCUGAGAAAGAAUGCAGCAAAUGAAAAGAAGAAAAAGAACGUACGGUUAAAGCCACCAUGGGAACUUUGGGAAACUGAGUUUUAAGAAUGCUCAAGUUCUUGUAAUCAGGCCGAAAAUCGUGACCCCACUGACUACAACAAUGAGCCUCCUGCAAAUAAAGUAGGAAAUUAAACAAUCAAAUAUUGGUUACAAAGUAAGAAAUUAAAAGCAGGUUAGGACUUACAUCAAUUGAAAUAAGAGAGAGGCGACCAGCAUUGUGACACUUUUCAAGCUUCGACAUGAAUCUUUUACUCUUUGAUACCUUUUCAGGUGUCACAUAAAGUAUCUUGAGGUCAUCUUCACCCUUUUCAAGUGCCUUGUACACAAACUUCUCAUUCUCCUUGCCAGAAGUAGAAGUCAGCAUGUAAGCUGAAAUCCCUAGAGCCGCCAAACCCAUAACCUGAACCAAUCAUUAACAAUAAGUAAACUAAACACUUGUAAUCACUCAAUAUAUAAAGAAGUAGUUUGAAGUUAAUAGUUGUGUACCUGAUCCUGAAUGAGUGAAAGUAAAGGGCUGACAACAAGAGUUGUGCCACCACGAAGUAUAGCAGGAAGCUGAUAGCAAAGACUCUUCCCACCACCUGCUGCCAUGAUCACCAGAACAUCCCUACCAGCCAUUAUAGCGUUAACUAUCUGUCGUGUCAUCCAAGGAAACAGGAUUGAAACGUCAUCAUUGUGUUGCUUUCUUGAAAGACAUAAAGCAAAUGCAGAAGCAAAUGCAAAAGCAACUUACUUCUCUCUGGUUAGCUCUGUAUUUGGAUAUGCCAAAAAUGUUAAACCUAAUGUCAUCAGCGCGUGAGUCCCACUCGAAUGACUCGGACCAAUUCUCCACAGCACUCGAGCCAUCAGGACAAGAAGGUGCGACAGGUGUUACUGAAGCUGAAACUGCUUUUAACAAUGUCUUAAGCUCAGACUUUCUCUCGUACAACCUGUCUUGAUGCUCUAUCAAAGCACUUAUCUGACCUAUAACAAUAAUUCGAAUUCAAAAUCAGAAGCAACCUGAGAUGUAAAUUGGAAGAAGGGACAAGUGUAAACCUUGAACAUCGUUGAUCUCGAGCUCUAAGCUUUGAAGCUCGUCCUGAAUCGCUUCACUUUCCAUUGGUUCACCGGCUUAAUCAACGGUGUGUGUGUUUUUUACCCUUCCGUCGUCGGCGUCGCGGCUCAUUAGAAAGAGGUGAAGCAGAAUAUAUUGGGCCUUAUAAGGGCUGACGUUUUAUAAUGGGCUUUUAAUGGCCCAGUAUGUUCUUGGAUCAUUCGUUUUUUCGGAUAUUUUUUUUUUUUUAACAUCUGAUUAAUUAUGCUAUUAUAACAAUGAGAAAUAUUACAUAGACGAUUUUACAGCCGACAAUUCUACCAUCAUAUGAGAAUGUAAGUUUGACUGCAUCGCUCCAAGCCGCUCUAUGAAAUCCAUGUUCUAUGAUACGCCCUUGCACUAUGAUGAAGACCUCUUACAACUUUUUUUUCUCUAUGAUCUGUAUAAUUUGCGUUUUCUGGGAUUUGAACCCCAGACUUCCUGCUGUAAAAGCAUUAAUGAACCUUUAGUCAAACUAAUGAACUAAAGAGGCUUCCACAAUUUUUUCGGGUCAUUUUGUGUGUGUGUGUGUGUUUUUUUUUUGGGGGAAAAUUUUUGUGGGGGGGGGGGGGGCAUGUGAAUUAACUCUGGUUAAUUUAGGUGAAUCAAAGGUAUUUUUUUGGUACAUAGUCCAAAUUGAAGGACGUUAGAUCUAUUAAAAUUGAAGUACAUGUUGGAAUUACCCUCAAUUAGCUCUAAGUAUUACAAGUCUAUGCCACUGUCCUAAACCAUGUUUAACCACUACAAAAAAAUACAACUAUAGCGACGAAAAUUAACGAGAAAAUUUAAUCUUCGUAAAUUUAUGUCGACUUUACGAGUAUCGUACGAGGAAAUUUAAAAUCAACGUUAGUUCGUCGUAAAAUAUCGACGAAAUGAUUUCCUCGUAAAAACGACGUAACAUAACGUGGCUUUUACGAGGAAAAAUGGUUUCCUCGUAAACUCAACGUAACAAUAGCGUCUACUUUACGAGGAAAUAUUUUACGUUUACUUAACGAUAAAAUUUCGAGUUCACCAAUUUUGUAGUUGUAACACGUUUUUUUGUUUCGGCUACCUAACUAAAUUUCGUCGUAAAUUUCAACUACCAGAUUCAAAAAUUUCCUAUAAAUAUGGACAUUUGAACAUCAUUUUAAAUACACCAACAAGAAAAAAUAAAUAAAAAAAAGUGAAAGAAAAAAAAAUGUCGGGCUCCGGAAAUAUUUUCGAGAUACGGAGGUGGAUGUAUAACAGGAGAGUGACAAAAGAAUACCUCGAAGGGCUGGAGACAUUUAUGCAUCAAGCAGAUUCCACACCGCUCGCCCAAGAAAGCGGUAAGAUGUUAUGUCCUUGUCGGAAAUGCAAUAAUUUGAAAUUGGCAAAUCGUGAAAAUGUUUGGAAGCAUUUAAUAAAUAGAGGUUUCACGCCAAAUUAUUAUAUCUGAUUUCAACAUGGAGAAGGUUAUAAUUAUGAGAAUUAAGCUAGUAGUAGUAAUAGCAAUUUUAAGGAAGAACCGAUUGAUCAUCAUUUGCAUAAUGAACAUAGUUAUCAUCAGAAGGAGCAGAUGGUAGAUUAUGAUAGGGUUCAUGAUAUGGUAGCUGAUGCAUACGUAGCGGAUGAUGAAGAAGAAGAACCUAACAUAGAUGCAAAAACGUUUUAUGAAAUGUUAGAUGCUGCGAAUCAGCCACUUUACAGUGGUUGUAGAGAAGGUCUCUUUAAAUUAUCGUUGGCUGCUAGAAUGAUGAAUAUUAAAACUAAUCAUAAUAUACCUGAAAGUUCCAUGAAUGAAUGGACAUGUGAAUAAAAUCAAAUCAUAACUCUGGUUAAUUUAGGUGAAUCAAAGGUAUUUUUUGGUACAUAGUCCAAGUCGAAGGACGUUAGAUCUAUUAAAACUGAAGUACAUGAUGGAAUUACCCUCAAUUAGCUCUAAGUAUUACAAGUCUAUGCCACUGUCCUAAACCAUGUUUAACCACUACAAAAGAACACAACUAUAGCGACAAAAAUUAACGAGAAAAUUUAAUCUUCGUAAAUUUAUGUCGACUUUACGAGUAUCGUACGAGGAAAUUUAAAAUCAACGUUAGUUCGUCGUAAAAUAUCGACGAAACGAUUUUCUCGUAAAAACGACGUAACAUAACGUGGUUUUUACUAGGAAAAAUGGUUUCCUCGUAAACUCAACGUAACAAUAGCGUCUACUUUACGAGGAAAUAUUUUACGUUUACUUAACGAUAAAAUUUCGAGUUCACCAAUUUUGUAGUUGUAACACGUUUUUUUGUUUCGGCUACCUAACUAAAUUUCGUCGUAAAUUUCAACUACCAGAUUCAAAAAUUUCCUAUAAAUAUGGACAUUUGAACAUCAUUUUAAAUACACCAACAAGAAAAAAAAUAAAAAAAAAGUGAAAGAAAAAAAAUGUCGGGCUCCGGAAAUAUUUUCGAGAUGCAGAGGUGGAUGUAUAUGCAUAGAGAUGCUAACAGGAGAGUGACGAAAGAAUACCUCGAAGGGCUGGAGACAUUUAUGCAUCAAGCAGAUUCCACACCGCUCGCCUAAGAAAGCGGUAAGAUGUUCUGUCCUUGUCGGAAAUGCAAUAAUUUGAAAUUGGCAAAUCGUGAAAAUGUUUGGAAGCAUUUAAUAAAUAGAGGUUUCACGCCAAAUUAUUAUAUCUGAUUUCAACAUGGAGAAGGUUAUAAUUAUGAGAAUUAAGCUAGUAGUAGUAAUAGCAAUUUUAAGGAAGAACCGAUUGAUCAUCAUUUGCAUAAUGAACAUAGUUAUCAUCAGAAGGAGCAGAUGGUAGAUUAUGAUAGGGUUCAUGAUAUGGUAGCUGAUGCAUACGUAGCGGAUGAUGAAGAAGAAGAACCUAACAUAGAUGCAAAAACGUUUUAUGAAAUGUUAGAUGCUGCGAAUCAGCCACUUUACAGUGGUUGUAGAGAAGGUCUCUUUAAAUUAUCGUUGGCUGCUAGAAUGAUGAAUAUUAAAACUAAUCAUAAUAUACCUGAAAGUUCCAUGAAUGAAUGGACAUGUGAAUAAAAUCAAAUCAUAACUCUGGUUAAUUUAGGUGAAUCAAAGGUAUUUUUUGGUACAUAGUCCAAGUCGAAGGACGUUAGAUCUAUUAAAACUGAAGUACAUGAUGGAAUUACCCUCAAUUAGCUCUAAGUAUUACAAGUCUAUGCCACUGUCCUAAACCAUGUUUAACCACUACAAAAGAACACAACUAUAGCGACAAAAAUUAACGAGAAAAUUUAAUCUUCGUAAAUUUAUGUCGACUUUACGAGUAUCGUACGAGGAAAUUUAAAAUCAACGUUAGUUCGUCGUAAAAUAUCGACGAAACGAUUUUCUCGUAAAAACGACGUAACAUAACGUGGUUUUUACUAGGAAAAAUGGUUUCCUCGUAAACUCAACGUAACAAUAGCGUCUACUUUACGAGGAAAUAUUUUACGUUUACUUAACGAUAAAAUUUCGAGUUCACCAAUUUUGUAGUUGUAACACGUUUUUUUGUUUCGGCUACCUAACUAAAUUUCGUCGUAAAUUUCAACUACCAGAUUCAAAAAUUUCCUAUAAAUAUGGACAUUUGAACAUCAUUUUAAAUACACCAACAAGAAAAAAAAUAAAAAAAAAGUGAAAGAAAAAAAAUGUCGGGCUCCGGAAAUAUUUUCGAGAUGCAGAGGUGGAUGUAUAUGCAUAGAGAUGCUAACAGGAGAGUGACGAAAGAAUACCUCGAAGGGCUGGAGACAUUUAUGCAUCAAGCAGAUUCCACACCGCUCGCCUAAGAAAGCGGUAAGAUGUUCUGUCAUUGUCGGAAAUGCAAUAAUUUGAAAUUGGCAAAUCGUGAAAAUGUUUGGAAGCAUUUAAUAAAUAGAGGUUUCACGCCAAAUUAUUAUAUCUGGUUUCAACAUGGAGAAGGUUAUAAUUAUGAGAAUUAAGCUAGUAGUAGUAAUAGCAAUUUUCAGGAAGAACCGAUUGAUCAUCAUUUGCAUAAUGAACAUAGUUAUCAUCAGAAGGAGCAGAUGGUAGAUUAUGAUAGAGUUCAUGAUAUGGUAGCUGAUGCAUACGUAGCACAUGAUGAAGAUGAAGAACCUAACAUAGAUGCAAAAAAGUUUUAUGAAAUGUUAGAUGCUGCGAAUUAGCCACUUUACAGUGGUUGUAGAAAAGGUCUCUUUAAAUUAUCGUUGGCUGCUAGAAUGAUGAAUAUUAAAACUAAUCACAAUAUACCUGAAAGUUCCAUGAAUGAAUGGGCAUGUGAAUAAAAUCAAAUCAUAACUCUGGUUAAUUUAGGUGAAUCAAAUGUAUUUUUUGGUACAAUAGUCCAAGUCGAAGGACGUUAGAUCUCUUAAAACUGAAGUACAUGUUGGAAUUACCCUCAAUUAGCUCCAAGUAUUACAAGUCUAUGCCAUUGUCCUAAACCAUGUUUAACCACUACAAAAAAAACAACUAUAGCGACAAAAAUUAACGAGAAAAUUUAAUCUUCGUAAAUUUAUGUCGACUUUAAGAGUAUCGUACGAGGAAAUUUAAAAUCAACGUUAGUUCGAUGUAAAAUAUCGACGAAACGAUUUCCUCGUAAAAACGACGUAACAUAACGUGGUUUUUACGAGGAAAAAUGGUUUCCUCGUAAACUCAACGUAACAAUAGCGUCUACUUUACGAGGAAAUAUUUUACGUUUACUUAACGACAAAAUUUCGAGUUCACCAAUUUUUUUAGUUGUAACACGUUUUUUGUUUCGGCUACCUAACUAAAUUUCGUCGUAAAUUUCAACUACCAGAUUCAAAAAUUUCCUAUAAAUAUGGACGUUUGAACAUCAUUUUAAAUAUACCAACAAGAAAAAAAUAAAAAAAGUGAAAGAAAAAAAAAUGUCGGGCUCCGGAAAUAUUUUCGAGAUGCGGAAGUGGAUGUAUAUGCACAGAGAUGCUAACAGGAGAGUGACGAAAGAAUACCUCGAAGGGCUGGAGACAUUUAUGCAUCAAGCAGAUUCCACACCGCUCACCCAAGAAAGCGGUAAGAUGUUCUGGCCUUGUCGGAAAUGCAAUAAUUCGAAAUUGGCAAAUCGUGAAAAUGUUUGGAAGCAUUUAAUAAAUAGAGGUUUCACGCCAAAUUAUUAUAUCUGGUUUCAACAUGGAAAAGGUUAUAAUUAUGAGAAUUAAGCUAGUAGUAGUAAUAGCAAUUUUCAGGAAGAACCGAUUGAUCAUCAUUUGCAUAAUGAAUAUAGUUAUCAUGAGAAGGAGCAGAUGGUAGAUUAUGAUAGGGUUCAUGAUAUGGUAGCUGAUGCAUAUGUAGCGCAUGAUGAAGAUGAAGAACCUAACAUAGAUGCAAAAACGUUUUAUGAAAUGUUAGAUGCUGCGAAUCAGCUACUUUACAGUGGUUGUAGAGAAGGUCUCUUUAAAUUAUCGUUGGCUGCUAGAAUGAUGAAUAUUAAAACUAUUCACAAUAUACAUGAAAGUUCCAUGAAUGAAUGGGUAGACUUGUUUAAAAAGUAUUUGCCGGAAGACACUGUGUCUGCUGAUUCUUAUUAUGAGAUUCAGAAACUAGUUUAUAGUCUUGGGUUGCCUUGGGAGAUGAUAGACAUUUGCAUCGACAAUUGCAUGAUCUACCGGAGAGAUGAUGAGAAGUUAAAAAAAUGUUAAUUCUACAAGAAGCCACGAUUCAAGCCGCAAGGACGAGUACGUACAAUGGCAUUUUCUUACCGUACACUGCUCCAUUAUAAACUUAUAACCUUUGUAUGGUAAACCUAAACCAUAUAAUUCUCAUAUAUUCAGCCAACGAAAUUCAACAAAGAACAUAUCAUUAGUUUGUAACUCUUCAGAUUACAAUGUGAGCAUAAAAACUUAAAAAAAAAAAAACACUUUUACCACUUGAAUACUCUUUCAUGAUAACCUUGAUUAUUAUUAUUAUAUUAAUAUUUUAACCAAAAUAUGGCUAAUAAUAAACUUUUUGUAUACUGUUUUAUGAAGUUUAUAAAUAUAUAAAAAUGAUCACACAUUAUUACUCUUUCUAUAGUUUCAACAAUUAGUCACCAUAAAUAAUUAUUUAUAAUAUUAUAUAGAUUUUAACUGUUAAUAGACUUAUGUUUUUUUCUUUGGCAAGUGAUAUUAAUUAGUUAAAGAUUUACAUUUUAUUUUUAUAUCUAAUUAAAAUAAAUAAAAAAUGAUUGACCAAUCAAAUUAUAACAAUUUUGUAAGAGUUCACAUAUGAUUGACACGUAAGCAAAAAUCACUACAGUGACUUCUCAAUUAAUAUAUAGUAAAAUAUCAACUAACCAAAUAUUCAUUAACUAGAAAAAUUAAAGCAAUAUUUAUUAAUUUUUGAAAGAUACGUGUAUAUCUAUCUAUCUAUCUUAUUAAAACUGAAGUACAAAAAUAAAUUAACCCCUUAAUUAACAAUUUAAUUAUGAUUAAUGCCACCAGAAAUUAAUUAAUCAUAAUUUUCAGCAUUAAUUAAAAUUAAGAAAAUCUUGAUUUAAAAAUAUAAAAUAAAUUAAUUUUAUAUAUGGUCAACAUUAACGAUUAUUUCAAAUGACAACAUAUCUUAACAAAAUAUUUUAUAAAUUAAAUAAUUAAUUAGUUUUACCUGUAAUUAAUUAUANNNNNNNNNNNNNNNNNNNNNNNNNNNNNNNNNNNNNNNNNNNNNNNNNNNNNNNNNNNNNNNNNNNNNNNNNNNNNNNNNNNNNNNNNNNNNNNNNNNNNNNNNNNNNNNNNNNNNNNNNNNNNNNNNNNNNNNNNNNNNNNNNNNNNNNNNNNNNNNNNNNNNNNNNNNNNNNNNNNNNNNNNNNNNNNNNNNNNNNNNNNNNNNNNNNNNNNNNNNNNNNNNNNNNNNNNNNNNNNNNNNNNNNNNNNNNNNNNNNNNNNNNNNNNNNNNNNNNNNNNNNNNNNNNNNNNNNNNNNNNNNNNNNNNNNNNNNNNNNNNNNNNNNNNNNNNNNNNNNNNNNNNNNNNNNNNNNNNNNNNNNNNNNNNNNNNNNNNNNNNNNNNNNNNNNNNNNNNNNNNNNNNNNNNNNNNNNNNNNNNUAGUUUUACCUGUAAUUAAUUAUAUAUAUAUAUAUAUAUAUAUAUUUAAAACAUAUAGUAUGAUAUAAAUUAUUUUUUCCAUUACUUAAAGAUUAAAACUUAUCAAUUUUACUGUCCAGAACUAAGUUGUCAUUUAUAUUAUAAAUGAUAAAUAAUUUCAAAAAUAUAUCAAUUAUGUCUUUAAAAAUACAUUCAAUACAAAACAAUAUUCAAUAGUUCUAGGGGUGGGCGUUCGGGUAUCGAUUUGAGUUUGGUUCGGAUCUAUUUGGGUUUCAGUUUUUUGGGGUUAAAUAUUUCAGUCUCAUUUGGGUAUUUAUAAAUUCCGGUUCAAGUUUAGUUCGGAUUCGGACAACCCGUUUAAAUUAUUUUAAAAUUUUUUAAAUCAUUUUAUACUUUAAAUUUCUCAAAAUUGAUAAUCAAUAUAAUAUAUUACAUAUAAAUUUGAAUAAAAUACCUAAACUUAACAUAUGAAUUAGUUUGGCUUUGAAUGUUUGGAUAGAGAAUCAAUAGAUAUUUCUCAGUUUUUUGGUUUUUGAGUAAAUUUUAGCUAUUUUAGAUAUUUAUAUUUUAUUAUUUAUAUAUAUAUAUUAAGUAUUUUUGAAAACUUUAAAAUAUUUUAUGUACUUUAGAUAUUUUUAAUAUAUUAAAUUUAAAUAUAAUUAAUAUAUUUAAGUAUAUAAAUCUAUUUCAGAUAUAUUCGAGGUACUCGAAAUACUUCGGUUCGGAUCUGAUUUAGUUCUGAUUCUCUGGAUACCAAAAUUUAAACCCGUUUUGAUAUGUAAAUUUUGGUUCGGGUUCGGUACUACUUUUUCGGAUUGGGUACGGUUCGGGUCUUUAAAUUCAGGUUUUUUGCGUAGCCAUAUUCAAUAAUAUAAAAGAUAGUAAGAUUAAUUAUAAAUUAAAAACUAUUUAAACAGUUACAAAAUUGAUUACAAAAUAUUAUUGGUUACUAAUUUUUGAUAAAGUUAAAAGUUAUAUUAAAAUAUAAAAAUAUCAUCUAUUUUGAAACAUCAAAAACUCCAUUAUAUACACAGAGCCGUCCUUGGAGGUAAGCGGGAGAAGCGGCUGCUUCCAGCCGUCAUUAAUUUAUCAAGGUUAUCAGCCACAUUUUAAAAAUAUUUAUCCAAAAAUGGUGAAAUUUGAGCUAUGUGAAGGUGAGGGUUCGAAACAAUAUGCAGUGACAUUUUUUUAAGUAGUUUCUUUUUUAAAUAAUUAAACAUAAAUAGGCCAUUUUUUCUUAGUUCUGCUUCAAGCCCGGUAAAUAUGCGGACCGGCUCUGAUUAUACAUCAUCUAUUUUGAAACGGAAGAAGUAUAUAAUAAUAAAAUAAAACAACAUCCAAUACAAAUAAUAAUCCAAUGCUAAUAUAACAAUAUUUAUGUACAAUAAAUUGUAUUUUUUAAAAAUUAAAACAAAUACUCUCACCGGAUCAAAAUCUUGACAAAGAAAACAUAUUCAUUGAAGGAAGGGGCUUUUCUAAAUAAUGAACAUAUUCAUUGACAAAGAAAACAUAUUCAUUGUUAUCUCUUAUAUACUAAAUCACAAGUCACUACACCAAUAAUAUUUUGCCACAUAGAUCAAGAAAUAAAAGAGUUUAAAUACAAAAACAAAAAUGAAAAAAUGCAAAACAAAAAUAUUUACGCAAGAGACAAAAAUCAAAAAUAUUAUCAUUCCAUUUUGCGGAGCAGUUCCUCUUUCUAAACUCCAUGAUCACCACUCACUCUCCUAAUAACUAUCUCUAUUUCCUUUAAAUACUUUUUGAAGUUAUCCAAUGACCGAUUGUUAACUGACACAUUUUGUCUCUUUCUCUAAUCACAAAUCUGAUGUGGGUAUGGAUUGAUUCUUCCCAAAGGUAAAUAGUUAAUUUGUGUCAUUUUUAUGCUCUUGCUUCAUCUAUUUUCUUCUACGGCCUUUAAUCAAGUGUCACUCUUCGCAUUCAAGGUUUUCUUCAAAAGAUCAAGCUUAUAUUCUGAAAAUAUGAAAAAGUUACUUUCUAUUUUGCUCCCUUUCAAAAAUCUCUAUUCUGGUUUUUUCUAACGUUUAUAUGCUUGAAGAGAUCGUAUCCCAUUACUAAUUAGUAUUGAUUGAUGCAGAAACUGAAAAAUGUAAAAAGAGAGAAACUCCAACGCUUUAUUGAGAAAACUAUCAGCAAACUAAAAUUACAGGUAUAUUAUAGUAUUUACUAACUUUUUUGUCCUAACGAAUGAUCAUAUUUUGCAUGGUUUCCAUGACACUGAUAUACGACAACUUCGUAGAUUUGUUGAAAGGCCAUUUGAAUAGGAAUUAUAUAUUUCUUGGUUUUUUACUAGAAAUGUUGAGAAAAAAAUGAGAACAGAUUCUAAUUCAUAUAACUUUUUAAGUAAAAAACAAUCAUGUUGAUAUUGACUUAUAUAAGUGAGAUUUUAUAUUUUUUGGUUUAUCUAUUACAGUGAUAGGUAACUAAAAUAAUAAUUUGUUUUGAUGUUUUAUAGUUAUUAAGUUUUGAUCAGAUAAUUUAGAAAACAAUGAAAUUGACCCAUGCAUAGCAUGGGAGCUAAUACUAGUAUAUAGUAAAUUAGUAGCAAUAUAUAAGAAAACAACAAUAACUAAAAUAAAAGAAUAGCCGUUUGCUGCAAAAAAAAACUAAAAUAAAAUAAUUGAAGGUCUAUAUAUUUUCAUAAUAUAUAAAAGACUAAAUUUAUUGGAUCCGUAUAUUUCCAAUGAAGUCAAUAUUGCUUUUAGUGAUCCAACUUUUCUAAAACAGACCACAAAUUAAAUUUAUUUUAAUUUUCAUGAGCUUAUUUAUCAAUACCAGAUAAUUUUAUAUUCUUAUAUUUAAAAGUAAACAAAAAUAAUAAUAACAGAGACAAGACACUAGAAUUAUUUUAUAUAACUAAGGUCUGGCUGUAUAACUUUUUUAUUCUUAUAGAUCUUUUUAAUCUAAAAGUUUAGAGUAAUAAAUCCUUUUACUUCGUUUCGAUCCCCUUAAAUUUUACCAACAAGGUAAAAUGAAAAAAAAAAAGUUCAUUUUAUUUUUGAAAAAUGUUUUCUCUUUUGAUGACAAAAAAAAUGUUUAUAUUUUGUGUUUAAUGGCAAUAUUUUCCUCUUCUCUAUAAAAAAUCCAGAAUAACACAAAAAUCCAAAGAUAAUUAUUUAUAUUUUUCUCUUUUUUCCUAACUUUUUUCUCAGUUAUUCUACAUUACUCUACUUAUAUUACUCUCACAUUUCACAAGUUAGACCCAUAGUUUUAAAAUUGAAAAACAUGUCGGGACCAAACAGCUUUAGGACAGCUUUAGAAGCUGCGACCCAUACCGAAUAUAAGUAAUCAAUCCCCCCUGUACCUCAUGGAGUAUAUAAAACAGUAAACGACAAAACUACCUUUUUGCUAACUGCGUCAUCGCUUGUGUCAUUAAUCCUUUCAAACUUAUCUAGAAUAGAUGAAUCUGGAAACUAACAGCGAAGCUUUGUAUAAACCUCUCUCUAACUUGCUCUACCUUCUCUCUACCAAAGUUUCUAAAUCAAAGAAUCUCGUCGGUGACCGGUGGUCUUUCCACCGGUUACCAUCUUUUUUAUUUUGUUUUUUGUUGUGAAUACUUUCGAUCUAUGUAUCGAACUUGCUUCGCGUAGGCGAUCUUGUUUUCGUUAGGCGAUUUUGGUGUGCUAAGCUUUAAUCAAAACAGACCUGA
rnacentral:lncRNA from 1 species